CCUACGGGUGGCUGCAGUGAGGAAUAUUGGUCAAUGGGCGGAAGCCUGAACCAGCCAAGUCGCGUGAGGGAUUAAGGCCCUGCGGGUCGUAAACCUCUUUUGCCGGGGAGCAAAGAGCGGUACGUGUACCGCAUCGAGAGUACCCGGAGAAAAAGCAUCGGCUAACUCCGUGCCAGCAGCCGCGGUAAUACGGAGGAUGCGAGCGUUAUCCGGAUUUAUUGGGUUUAAAGGGUGCGCAGGCGGCGAGUUAAGUCAGCGGUAAAAUUUCGGGGCUCAACCCCGACGAGCCGUUGAAACUGGCUUGCUAGAGUGGGCGGGAAGUAGGCGGAAUGCGUGGUGUAGCGGUGAAAUGCAUAGAUAUCACGCAGAACUCCGAUUGCGAAGGCAGCAUACCGGCGCCCAACUGACGCUCAGGCACGAAAGCGUGGGUAUCGAACAGGAUUAGAUACCCGUGUAGUC
rnacentral:rRNA from 1 species